rnacentral:rRNA from 1 species
UGGGGAAUUUUGGACAAUGGGCGAAAGCCUGAUCCAGCAAUGCCGCGUGUGUGAAGAAGGCCUUCGGGUUGUAAAGCACUUUUGUCCGGAAAGAAAUCCUUGGCUCUAAUACAGUCGGGGGAUGACGGUACCGGAAGAAUAAGCACCGGCUAACUACGUGCCAGCAGCCGCGGUAAUACGUAGGGUGCAAGCGUUAAUCGGAAUUACUGGGCGUAAAGCGUGCGCAGGCGGUUUGCUAAGACCGAUGUGAAAUCCCCGGGCUCAACCUGGGAACUGCAUUGGGUGACUGGCAGGCUAGAGUAUGGCAGAGGGGGGUAGAAUUCCACGUGUAGCAGUGAAAUGCGUAGAGAUGUGGAGGAAUACCGAUGGCGAAGGCAGCCCCCUGGGCCAAUACUGACGCUCAUGCACGAAAGCGUGGGGAGCAAACAGGAUUAGAUACCCUGGUAGUCCACGCCCUAAACGAUGUCAACUAGUUGUUGGGGACUUCAUUUUCCUUAGUAACGUAGCUAACGCGUGAAGUUGACCG